AAGAAAGAGAUCAGGCACAAGAAGGUGGUGCUGAGAAAGUUCCAUGAAAACUCAGAAGUCACCGCCUGCAUAUCAAACUUGAAUAACCAGGAGAGAUGUAACUUCGGCAUACUUUCAGCUGCCUUCCUCCUGCCCACACCGCAGGUUUUUCAGGUCCUUGCUUGAGCGUGCACUCACAGGCGUAAAUAAACGUGCUAUCAACAGCCUGCGUCAGCCAACCCAGCUAUUUAAGCGGGCUGGCAUCAGCAAACUCAGCUUCCAAAUCCAGGGCUUGUCUUUGCCACUGCCACGUAAGUAACUUUCAGAGGUUUGCCUUUAUUGCAGAGGAAUGAGAUUGUGUAGAAACUGGACUGAAAUGUUAUAGUUCCCAUAGUCACUAUUCUGCUGGGGAAGCAUAGAGGUGAAAGGGAGAAUAAAAGUUAAGAGUUAGUCCCAAGCAGGGAGCCAGAGAACAUUGCUGGGUGUAGUAUAUCAGACCCUUGCAAACAUGCAAGGGGUUGAGGUGGACUUGGAGCAAGGUAGAGUCCAUUUUGGCCUUUUGGCCAGAAGGUAAGAUGUUUUUCUUGCUCUCUCCUAUCUCUGGAAGCCACUUGGAAACCACUGUUUGUGUGACUGUGCCAGAUACAUAGGGAUUUAUCAUUUAGAAGCUGAUGUUGCUAUUAUUCAUCUCAGUCUAAAAUCAGACACAGUAUUAUUAAAAAUUUUUUGUGUGUUUUAUAUAGGGGGAUAAGAGGGGCUAUCUCUGGAUUAAGUAGAGGUGGUUCAAUUGUGAAUUUGCAGUGCUAUUUCUUGUUAGGUCCGGUUCUUAUAAUACUAAUUUACAACAAUGCAAACACUGAUCUUGCUUAAGGUAAAAAGGAAUCCCAUGCUCUGGGUUUUGAGGAAAUAUAGGUUUGUGAUAUUUGAGCACAAUGGGUAUCCAGGUAUUCGGGGAAUGUGCUAAACAAAGGGGAAUAAGAAUCAUUGACUAAAGAGGCACAACAUUCCACAUGACUUAGGUGAGGUCUUAAAGAGAAGGGCCAGGCAAAAAGUUCCUGUGGAGCUGCACUGCCACUCAACAGGCCUAUUGGAUCUUUAGCAAAGGAGGGAGAGUAUAAUCAGAGCAGGCAGAGAACAAAACAAAGGAGAGGGGCUAGGGAGGAGAGGGGACAGACAGUAGAGGAGUUACGAUUAGACAUCAUAUUUGUAAAAUAUAUAUAGGAUUAUAAUAGAACUAAAGCAUGACAUAAAUUCUAUAGUUCCUCCUUUUGGGUCAAGAAUCUGGCGGGGCGCCUGGGUGGCACAGUCAGUUGGGUGUCCAAUUUCAGGUGAUCUUGGGAUCAUGAUCUCGGGGUAGUGAGAUCGAGCCCCAAGUCAAGCUCCACUCUCUUUCUGCCCCUCCCCACCCCGGUCUCUCUCUCUCUUUCUCUUCUCUCUCUGAAAAAAAAAAAAAAAUCUAGUGAUUAAGAAUCGGUGAAAGCCAAGGACCUUGCCCAGGUAGUUGCCCCUGCCUCAACACAUACCUUGACACACAACACUCAUUUUCUGGAGCCCUAGAACGCCACGCACCCCAAAUGAAUGCAUUUAAGCUAAUGCAUUAUUUUUACACUGAGCUGAAGCUGCUGACUAGGAACCUACAGAGAAGCAGCAGGGGGUUGGACACCAAACUGAAGCUCACUUCUAAGGUCAUAAAGGUCUGAUUCCCAUCAAGCAAAUAAUAGCUAAAGGGUUUCUUGGGGCAAAGAUAAGUUGGGGUCCUGGAGGAAGAGAAAAGAAAUAAAAGGUAGAUCCUGUUCUCAAAAAGCUUGAUAUCUUAAGUAUAAGGACAUAAUAAGAACCUAGGCGAGGGGCUCCUGGGUGGCUCUGUUGGUUGAGCAUCCGACUUCGGCUCAGGUCAUGAUCUCACAAUUUGUGAGUUUGAGCCCAGUGUCAGGCUCUGUGCUGACAGUUCAGAGCCUGGAGCCUGCUUCGGAUUCUGUGUCUCCUUCUCUCUCUGCCCCUCACCCACUUGUGCUCAGUCUCUCUCUAUCUAAAAUAUAAAAAAAAUAUUUUUAAAAAAGAAGCCAAGUGAAAAAUAGUACAUAUUGUAUGAUUCCACUGGUAUGAAAUGAUAGAAAAUGCAAACUAUAGUAACAGAAAGCAGAUCAGUGGUUACCUGGGGAAGAGGAUGGGAGAGAAAAGGGGUAAGAGGAUCACCAAGGGGCAUGGAAAACUUUGGGGGUGAUGGGUAUGUUCACUAUUGUGAUUGUGGUAACCAUUACUUAUAUGUGAAAAUAUAUCAGAUCGUAUAUUUUAGACACAUGCAGUAUUAUAUGCCAUUAUACCCCAACAAACAAUACUUUAAUAAUAUAUCAUUUGUAUAUGAUUAAAGGUAUUUCUAAAAAUUAGCCUAUGUAACAUACUGAAAAUUAAAAAAAAUAUGUCUGGGAAAAAAUUAAUUCAAUAAAUAUAAUGGAGGACAAGACCAUCAGGAUUUUGGACUUUUAUAGAACCUGGAAGGUUCCAGAGAUCAUUUAACUCAGCAAUUGCAGACCUGGAAAACUGUUUUUAAAAAUACUCAGGACUGGCCACACCCCAACCAAUUAAGUAAGGAUUCCUGGGUGCGCAGUCCUGGCAUUGUUUUUUAAAGUGAUUCUAAUGUGCAGCCAGGAAUGAGAAGCAGUCAAAUCCAAACUCCUCCCUGACACAGGAGGACAGAGAAGCCCAGAGAGAGGGUGGGUUUGCCCCUGACCACACAGCCACUGGGUCCCAGAACCCAGGGAGGACAGCAACAGGAUCUCAACGCUACUGGGUCCUCAAAACCACAUUUUCAGCUCAAGCUAGGAUAGGGCAUCCCGUGCAUUUCAAGCAAAUUCUUGGCAUCCAGACACGCUCAGGGCCGACAGCAGGAAGAAUUACUCAGAACCUCAAAGGUGCAUUAUUUAAGGACUGUGCUAACACGUGAGAAGGGAUGUUUCAAAACGAAAGCUUCCUUUUGUUCCCUCAAAAAUAUCUGGUAUAAGCCAGAUAAUACUUACUGAAAGAAUCUCAGCAGAUGGCACCAGGCGCUCUGUGGGGGACAGGGGCAAGUUGUUACUUUAGGAACUGGCACAGUUCUCAGCGUUGGGAGGAGUCUAUGUGCACUAUAGGGGCUCUUCAUUGUGGUUUCCAGGUUGGCCCCAGGCAGAAGCGUGAGUGGGUGAAGUUUGUCUUCGUGGCUACUGCUGUUCUGUCUGUCUCUCACCUUGGCUCCUGUGUGGGUGCAGGGGUGCCCAUGGGACCACACAUCUCACCUGCUCUGCCUGGGCCAGCUAGCCAGGUUUUAGGUGGUUUCUCAGCUCCCUUCUCAUCCAAACAUGUCUGAUUUCCAGGGUCUCAUCCCCUCGGGGCUUUGCUUAUCCAUCUCUGGAAAACUAAUUAAAGUUAUGAUGUUAAUACACAAUAAUUGUUUUAAUGAGUUAUGUCCUCCUCACCCCCCAGUAUAUUAACUAGAUUCUAGCAAGAUAACAUAUCUGGGAAUUCUUUGAAAUGUUAUAUAAACAUAAUUACCAUUUUGGGCAAUCAGGAGAAUCAAAGUUUUAGGCGAAAUAUAUAAUCCCUAAAAAUUUCCAAGCAACCUGAUGGGGGAAAAUACACCAAGAUUGGGGGUUUGCCAUAGAAUUCCUCAAAUCACAUCCCUUAGGGAAUUCCCUACAGACUGUGGGGCCUCACAGAAUGCUUUUCCUGAAUUUGUCUAUUCUUUGUUCACUGCAUUUUGUGCUCAUUGGAGAUGGCAGCAUUUAUCUUUCUGGGAAACAGAGAGCCACCUUAAAGACACUACAGUGGAGAUAAAAUGUCAAGAAAUUCUGAACAUCUUUUCAUGUGCCUGUUGGCCAUCUGGAUGUCUUCUUUAGAGAAGUGUCUAUUCAUGUUUUCUGCCCAUUUCUUCAGUGGGUUAUUUGUUUUUCGGGUGUGGAGUUUGGUGAGCUCUUUAUAGAUUUUAGAUACUAGCCCUUUGUCCGAUAUGUCAUUUGCAAAUAUCUUUUCCCAUUCCGUUGGUUGCCUUUUAGUUUUGUUGGUUGUUUCCUUUGCUGUGCAGAAGCUUUUUAUCUUCAUAAGGUCCCAGUAAUUCACUUUUGCUUUUAAUUCCCUUGCCUUUGGGGAUGUGUCAAGUAAGAGAUUGCUACGGCUGAGGUCAGAGAGAUCUUUUCCUGCUUUCUCCUCUAAGGUUUUGAUGGUUUCCUGUCUCACUCUUAUGUGGAUCCUGAGAAACUUAACAGGAACCCAUGGGGGAGGGGAAGGAAAAAAAAAAAAAAAGAGGUUAGAGUGGGAGAGAGCCAAAGCAUAAGAGACUGUUAAAAACUGAGAACAAACUGAGGGUUGAUGGGGGGUGGGAGGGAGGGGAGGGUGGGUGAUGGGUAUUGAGGAGGGCACCUUUUGGGAUGAGCACUGGGUGUUGUAUGGAAACCAAUUUGUCAAUAAAUUUCAUAAAAAAAAAAAAAAAAGAGGUUAGAGUGGGAGAGAGCCAAAGCAUAAGAGACUGUUAAAAACUGAGAACAAACUGAGGGUUGAUGGGGGGUGGGAGGGAGGGGAGGGUGGGUGAUGGGUAUUGAGGAGGGCACCUUUUGGGAUGAGCACUGGGUGUUGUAUGGAAACCAAUUUGUCAAUAAAUUUCAUAAAAAAAUAAAAAAUAAAAAAAUAAAGGAUUAGGGCAUUUUACCCAGCAAAAAAAAAAAAAAAAAAGAAAUUCUGCUCACAGGGCUUUAUAAUUAUUACCUAGUUCCUCUUCUGCAUGGAAGGCUGGCACUGGCAGAGCAGCUUGCCUAGCCUUAGGGACAAGGGCCUCCUUCCUUGGGGACUCAGUACUGCAGCCUGAGGCAAGAGGCGCCCUCAGUUCCUGUAACUCUGGGUCCUCCAUAGCCCUUUCUUCCAUUAGGAAAGCUGAAAUUGGAAAGCUCUUGCUGGCAAGUGGCAGCUGCAUGUGGUACGUCUUGUCCCUAAAGAGGGGUGUGGCCAGGUAUGUAAUUAACCUUCCUCUGGGGAAGCAGAGUCUGCAGGCAGCCAGGAGUCCAGAGCCCUCUGGCUUCAUCUGUGAGUGAAGCAGCAAGGUGAGGAGGGAGAAGGUAAGCACCAUCCUGACUCCUGGGAGACGGGGAGACACGGGGCACUCAAGCUCAGGGGAAAGGAUUAGGCUAUUGGCAUCAGGGUGGCCACCAACACUGGUCCAAUGCUGCUGUUUGGAAGCCUGAUGUUUCCUCCUCUUGCCAUUCAGAGUUUCACCAAAAAUAAUUUUUUUUUUUCAAUGAGUGGCAUGAUUGCACAACUGGUAAAAUAGCUUUGUAUAACAGUGACAGAAUUUUUGGCUUCUUUGGAUGGGUUUUCUUUGAACAUUUCACCUUUGUUUUCACAAAUCCUCUUAGUGUGGAAUGGCUUAGUUCACUUGGACAUUUUUUUUAAGCCUGUGUCAUGACCUAACCCAGAUUAAUUUUUAGAUGCUGUCGAUGGCUUCCUCAAACUUUUAAAAAG
rnacentral:lncRNA from 1 species